GCCCUCUGGUGGAAGAAGGUCUGAAACCCAUACCAAUCUGUCGCAGCUGUUCAUCAAUCUGUAGGCGUUCCAUUCUUAGCUGUUCUACUUCCUACAAUCAAAACAAAAAAGACACGCCUAAGGUUACUAACUGGGACUGACAACAGUGCUCACAGAAGCGGAGGCAGACCACAAGGGUGAGCCAGACUGUUCAGGAACAGGGCAGGACCCUCCUGGACAGGAAUGGAAAAA